UCUCCUCCUCCUCCUUCCCGCCCCGCCGCCGCCUCGCCUCCUCUCAGCCCGGGCCGGGGGCGCAGCCGCCCGCCCUCGCCCUCGGGAAAAGUUUCUCCCGGCCCCGGGACCCCCCUGCCCCGCUCUCGGGCGGCGGGGCCGGGGUCACCUCAGCCAAUACUUGGUUCCUGGGCACUCACCUGGGACAGGGGCCAGCUUGGUGGCCAGCCAAGUAGCUGUGCAGUGCCCAGUCCCAGGGGCAGCACCGAGGAAGGUGUGCCAGGAUCAGGGCCCCAGCACUGAGCACUGACCAUCCUACGUAUCACAAUGCUGCUCUCUCCUUCCCUGGGGAGUAGCCUCCAGUUCUGGAUGUGAGAGACGUUAGAAGGAUGUUGUGAAAUAAAACCUAAAGAAGUCCACCGAGAUUCAUCAAUAAAGGAAGGAAUCCAUGGAGGAGGUUCAGUGUUGCUGGGAGCUGUGGAAGUGAGGGAAGCCAAAAAGUCUCCUGCCACCUGCUCCCACACUUAUGUUGCAGUUCAGUCCACCAGGGAUGGUGGCUUCCUCGGGCUGGUGCCUCCAGCAGUGGCAGGCUGGAGUGGUGUCUAACACACCCGUCAAAGGCUUUGGCAUGGGCACUUCAGUGUCCACCUUUCCUCUGUUUUUCCAUGUUCCUGAUCUAAUUGCACCAACAGAGCAGUCAAAAAUUAACCUCCUUCCACCUGGCCCAAACAGGCUCUUUUAGAAGAGUUUCUGGUGUCUGGCAGCAGCUUUGCCCUACCUUACAUAGACAAGUGCUAAAAUAAAUAUCAUCCUCUUAAAAUGUAGCAUAGAAACGUCAUUUAAAUUUAAGCCAUUUAAAACCAAAGGUAGAAAUCCCAUGUGUGGUGCAAAGCCUCUUAAUGCAAAUAGUCAGUCAUGCAUUGCAUGCCUCAAUCACACUCGUAUCGGUGUCAUUUGUGUCCUAAUAAAAUCCUAUAAUCUUUUGCGUGCCAAUUAAAGAAGGAAGAUAGCUAAGUCUAGCUGCUUCCUCGGGUAAUUACAGGCUAGCAGGGAGUCAGGCAGUUAUCUGCCCUGGGUUUGCUGGACUGGGGAUUACCAAAGGGUAUUUUCUCUCCUGUUUUUCUAAGGGACAGUACAAUGUUUUUUUUAACUGUAUGGUGUUUUAAAGGCAUAACCAGGAUCCAGGCAAUGGUUGUUAAUGAAAGAUCUAGAGUUCAGAUACACCCAGUUAAACAAUGGAUUGAGCUUAACAAUUGUAUUUGCUUUACCAAUAUUUUAAGAGUCACUUUUCAGAAAGAAGCGUUUAUAUUGA